GAGAACUGAUGAUUCGAGAGAUGGAAUGAUAGGGUAACGCCUUGAAACGUCUCCUCUAAUACUCCGACAUGCAUGGAUUAAGAUAGGUUAUGAAGUGUAUGAAGCUCGGUGAAGUCGCUUGAAAGUUACCGUAGUAAUUCAGUACGAAUCAACCGAAAGCUGUUCAGAGGUGAAUGGUGUAACCGAUAGAGCGGGAGUCCUAAAA
rnacentral:ncRNA from 1 species